UCUCUCAUUUGCCAGAUAAAUAGGAGUCACACGGAUAAUUUGGGGGUUUUUUCCUAGAGGAAAUUGUCACAUAUGCAGCUGUAGAUCUGGUGUUUCCAUGGGACAAGCUUUGAUUUUCUAACCUGGAAAAUGGAACUGCCUAGCCUGAAUGGACUUGGGAAGACAGAAAUAAUACACUCUUACACACGUGCCUUGGCAUCCCACCAAGCACAAGCUUAUUACACUUGGGAAGGAAUGGUCUAUAGAUAGAUUUUUUUCAGUGAAGAUUACAAGGACAACUCAUCAGGGAUUUUUCCCAUCUGCAAAGGCAAGGCUACUAAAUAAUACAUUUCCUAAAGAAUACAGCAGAGUCACACGCGACUAUCAAAGCAGGGAGGAUUCUAGCAGGAUGCACAGCUGCUAUUGUGACUAUUCGACACAAGCGAGGAGAACAGAUUCCUGUAACAGAAGACACUGCAGCUGAUAAUAUUCUAUAAACCACAGCCAUCAAACCCCUCACAUGCAUCAGUACAGAAUGAGAAAGAUGUAAUUUACACUUCCUUGUUUUUUAUUGGGUGAACAGACCUGCAAAGGGUUAUUUAACAUCUAAUGGACUUGCAACUAAGAGCCAAAUAGGAAGGAGUAGGGUACAGACCAGGUUGACCUAAGCGAAACUGGCUUCCAUGUUAGAGACAAAGACAGAGACUUCUUGACGGAGUGCAUUUAGAUAGAGAAAUAGGACUUGUGACUGGGAAUAUGGCUUUGUCUGUCUUCACUCUCAACAGCACAGGUGGUGUUGUAGGAGAAGAAAGAGAGACAGCAGGUCUUGGAGGGGUCGUAUUUGCCCUAUGAAUUAUUCCAAUACUAGCUCUUUUUCUGUUCUCCUUCAACAGAGAAACUCUGCUUCAGUCAAGAUUACAAAUAUCAUUCUUUUUAUAGCCUUUUCUUGCAAGGAGAAUUCAUAUAUGUACAUGCCACAGAAUCGCUGUUAAGCAUCAGUGAGUGAAUGAACAUUAUUCAACUCUCUAUGCCACAGUGCCCAGCGCAGUAAACAUCCAAGAGUACUGGCUCAAAUAAAUAUUAAACAGAAUUCUAGACAGCCUGCUCAGUGGGGACAGAUUAAAAACAUCAGUCAUGUUACAUGUUUAUGCUAUUGUUACAGUGUACCUCCUAUUCAUUUCAAGUGAGGUGUGGAUCUCAAACGCUUUGGAGCAUAUAUCCAUCUAACCUAGACAUUGCCCUCAUUUACCUCCUU